CUACGGGUCGCUCCAGCGGGGAAUAUUGCACAAUGGGCGCAAGCCUGAUGCAGCCAUGCCGCGUGUAUGAAGAAGGCCUUCGGGUUGUAAAGUACUUUCAGCGGGGAGGAAGGGAGUAAAGUUAAUACCUUUGCUCAUUGACGUUACCCGCAGAAGAAGCACCGGCUAACUCCGUGCCAGCAGCCGCGGUAAUACGGAGGGUGCAAGCGUUAAUCGGAAUUACUGGGCGUAAAGCGCACGCAGGCGGUUUGUUAAGUCAGAUGUGAAAUCCCCGGGCUCAACCUGGGAACUGCAUCUGAUACUGGCAAGCUUGAGUCUCGUAGAGGGGGGUAGAAUUCCAGGUGUAGCGGUGAAAUGCGUAGAGAUCUGGAGGAAUACCGGUGGCGAAGGGGGCCCCCUGGACGAAGACUGACGCUCAGGUGCGAAAGCGUGGGGAGCAAACAGGAUUAGAUACCCUUGUAGUC
rnacentral:rRNA from 1 species